ensembl:rRNA 5S_rRNA 5S ribosomal RNA
GUCUAUGGCCAUACCACUCUGAAUGUGCCCGAUCUAGUCUGAUCUCAAGGGCUAAGCAGGGUUGGGCCUGUUAGUACUGGGAUGGGAGUCUAUAUCUUUGCUAUUGUGAAUAGUGCUGCAAAAGACA